rnacentral:rRNA from 1 species
UGCUUUACACAUGCAAGUCGAACGGCAGCACGGGUGCUUGCACCUGGUGGCGAGUGGCGAACGGGCGAGUAAUACAUCGGAACGUACCCAGUUAUGGGGGAUAACUAACCGAAAGGUUAGCUAAUACCGCAUACGCCCUGAGGGGGAAAGCGGGGGACCGUAAGGCCUCGCGUAAUUGGAGCGGCCGAUGUCUGAUUAGCUAGUUGGUGAGGUAAAGGCUCACCAAGGCGACGAUCAGUAGCAGGUCUGAGAGGAUGAUCUGCCACACUGGAACUGAGACACGGUCCAGACUCCUACGGGAGGCAGCAGUGGGGAAUUUUGGACAAUGGGCGAAAGCCUGAUCCAGCCAUUCCGCGUGAGUGAAGAAGGCCUUCGGGUUGUAAAGCUC